UACAGAGGGUGCAAGCGUUAAUCGGAAUUACUGGGCGUAAAGCGCGCGUAGGUGGUUUGUUAAGUUGGAUGUGAAAUCCCCGGGCUCAACCUGGGAACUGCAUCCAAAACUGGCAAGCUAGAGUAUGGUAGAGGGUGGUGGAAUUUCCUGUGUAGCGGUGAAAUGCGUAGGUAUAGGAAGGAACACCAGUGGCGAAGGCGACCACCUGGACUGAUACUGACACUGAGGUGCGAAAGCGUGGGGAGCAAACAGG
rnacentral:rRNA from 1 species